rnacentral:snoRNA from 1 species
GAGACUGUACUUCUCAGGAUCAUUUCUGUAGUACGGUUUCCCGGUGGGGGUUCCACCUUGCUCGCCAAAGCACCCGCGAUGACGAGCAGAAGCGUCGUCCCCUGAGCGUGAAGCUCGCCGGGGGCGUCGUCAGUUUUGGUGAUCGCCCGGCGUUGAGGACCGUCGGCUGGCCCUCCAGGGGGUCGGCCGCGGGGGCGACGCUUUCUGAGAGGG